rnacentral:rRNA from 1 species
UGGAAGGUUAAGGGGAUUAGUCAGCGGAUCGUAAGAUUUGCAAAGCUUUGAACCGAAGCCCCAGUAAACGGCGGCCGUAACUAUAACGGUCCUAAGGUAGCGAAAUUCCUUGUGGGGUAAGUUCCCACGCGCACGAAUGGUGUAACAAUCUGGGCGCUGUCUCAACGAGAGACUCGGCGAAAUUGUAGUGGCGGUGAAGAUGCCGCCUACCCGCAUCAAGACGAAAAGACCCCAGAACCUUUACUGUAACCUGCUAUUGGGUUUUGGCCCAAUCUGUGUAGCAUAGGUGGGAGGCUUUGAAGCUUUGGCGCUAGCCGGGGCAGAGCCACAAUGUGAAAUACCACCCUUAUUGUACUAAGAUUCUAACCUUACAUCGUGAAUCCGGUGGAGGGACAUUGGCAGGCGGGCAGUUUGACUGGGGCGGUUCCCUUCUAAAAUGUAACGAAGGGGCCCUAAGGUUGGCUCAAGGCGGUCGGCAAUCGCCUGUGGAGUGUAAGCGCACAAGCCAGCUUAACUGCAAGUCCGGCAGGACGAGCAGAUACGAAAGUAGGGGCUAGUGAUCCGGUGGUUGAAUGUGGAAUCACCAUCGCUCAACGGAUAAUAGGUACUCUGGGGAUAACAGGCUUAUCGCGCUCGAGAGUUCAUAUCGACAGCGCGGUUUGGCACCUCGAUGUCGGCUAAUUAAUAAGGAUUGGCCCUCUAGUGGGUAACCGCUAGAGAAAAUUCGGCUAAUAACGGUGGACUCCGUGGUAUAAUAAUACGGACAAUACCGUGGGAAGUUGAGAAUUUGUGCCAAUGACUAGUCGUCAGGAAGAAAUAAUAAUAGGACUUUUACUUGGAGAUGGGCAUUUAGAAAAAAACGGACGUUAUGUAAGGUUGAAAGUCGAUCAAGCAAUUAAGCAUAAUGACUAUAUCAACUGGUUAUAUAACGAACUGAAAGAUUUAGUGCCCAGCCAGCCAGUAAUCGUAGAGGAAAAUGAUAAACGUACAGAGAAGGUUUAUAGACGAUUACAUUUUUCCACUUAUUCUAUUGCUGAAUUAAAAAAGUGGCGGGAUGAUUUCUAUGUUAAUAAAAAGAAAAUAAUCCCUCCUAAAAUAAGUAGUAUCUUAAAUUCAGCACUUUCUUUGGCGAUAUGGUUAAUGGAUGAUGGUUAUAAAAGAAAUGAUUGCGCAGCAAUCAGGUUAAACACCGACGGGUUUAGUUAUGAAGAACAACAAUUGUUAGUCGGAUGUUUAGGUAAAAAUUUCAGAAUAAAAAGCCAAAUCCAUAAAAAAGGCAAGUGGUAUAAUAUUUAUAUACCAAAAGGCGAAGCCAAUAAGUUUUCUACGCUGGUUAGCCCUUAUAUCUUGCCUAGUUUCAGGCAUAAAGUUCUUUAACCCCGUAACGACUGAUAGCGAAAGCUUGAGAUAGUCUAAUAAUUUUAGAGAUUAUCAGACGCCGAACUCCCAACGAGAGUUGGGAUGGUGGUAUAGUCUAUACCAUUGGUAACAAUGGAUAAAUAUGCAUCCUAUCCUGGGGCUGUAUAAGGUCCCAAGGGUCCGGCUGUUCGCCGGUUAAAAGGGUACGCGAGCUGGGUUCAGAACGUCGUGAGACAGUUAAGCGACCGUUAGCUGUCUAUAAAUCUGGCUAUAUGCUGGAAAAUCCCGUGUAUCUGAAGAUACUGGUAAUCUAGUAAAAAUUCUUCAGUGGGGAUAAUCAGCAGGGAAGAUUCGAUUUUUAUCGAAAACCCUCAGAGACUGUACGCCAGAAUCCGCCGUAGGCGGACAAGAUACAGUCCGAACUGCAUAGCGAUAUGCAGAGACUAGCAGAAAUGUCUGGUCCUCCGCUUAAGGCGGAAGUAACAAUAUUGUCGGUCUCUAUCUGAUGUGGGCGUUAGGAUACUUGAAGAGGAGCUCUCUUCAGUACGAGAGGACCUAGAGAGACGAACCUCUGGUGUUCCGGUUGUCCUGCCAAGGGCAAAGGCCGGGUAGCUAUGUUCGGGAGGGAUAAGCGCUGAAAGCAUCUAAGUGCAAAGCCCCCCUCAAGAAUAGGUAUCCCUUCCGCCGUAAGGCGGAUGAAGGCUGGUCGUAGACCACGACCUUGAUAGGCGCAAUGUGUAAGGUCCGUAAGGAUUUGAGCAAAUGCGUACUAAUAAGCCAAUCGGCUUGGCCUU